rnacentral:tRNA from 1 species
GGGUCCGUGGCCCAGUCAGGACAGGGUGCUGGCCUCCGAAGCCAGAGUUCGUGGGAUCGAAGCCCAUCGGACCCG